AACCCAUGAUUUGGGCAUUUUCUCAGCAUCAACUUAAAUCUUUCCCAUGUCUCACAGAAAGAUUCAUCUGCUCCUUGUCUGAACAUAAAGAUUUUAGACUUGACUUU
rnacentral:snoRNA from 1 species